GAUGAACGCUGGCGGCGUGCCUAAUACAUGCAAGUCGAGCGAACAGAUAAGGAGCUUGCUCCUUUGACGUUAGCGGCGGACGGGUGAGUAACACGUGGGUAACCUACCUAUAAGACUGGGAUAACUUCGGGAAACCGGAGCUAAUACUGGAUAAUAUUUCGAACCGCAUGGUUCGAUAGUGAAAGAUGGUUUUGCUAUCACUUAUAGAUGGACCCGCGCCGUAUUAGCUAGUUGGUAAGGUAACGGCUUACCAAGGCGACGAUACGUAGCCGACCUGAGAGGGUGAUCGGCCACACUGGAACUGAGACACGGUCCAGACUCCUACGGGAGGCAGCAGUAGGGAAUCUUCCGCAAUGGGCGAAAGCCUGACGGAGCAACGCCGCGUGAGUGAUGAAGGUCUUCGGAUCGUAAAACUCUGUUAUUAGGGAAGAACAUACGUGUAAGUAACGGUGCACGUCUUGACGGUACCUAAUCAGAAAGCCACGGCUAACUACGU
rnacentral:rRNA from 1 species